AUGACGGUUCUCAUAGCCAUGUUCGUCCUUGGGUUCGUUGCAGGAGCAGAGCAAACCGAUGGUCAUCCUCAUUCAUCCGCGUAUGAUGUCACGUGGUCACCGCGCGGUCUUUCGUCAACAAUCCCACCUCUUCAUCCGUCGGACGGCGUGUUCCCGACACAGUGGUGCAACCCCCGGCCACAGCACCUCAAGGCCGACAAAGGGAUCCUCUUUCUCAAGCGCAACCUGUUCGCCGGCGCCGUGCUGCCCGCAGACACCAAGCUGGGCCACGUCAGGGGGACAGGCACCCCCAGCACGGUCACCGGCACAGACCCCGUGCCGCCGCCGUUCGCCUACGGCAAUCUCGGAGACAUACUGGCUUACUACAGCAUAACGCCGGGCUCGGAGCAGGCCCGGCAGGUCGCCAGCACGCUCCGGUUCUGCGGCCGCAGCGACGCACGAGGCGGCGACCAGCCGGAAAAACCACACGUCUGUGCCACCACAGAGCAAGAGGCCAUGGAGUUCGCCGCCGCGGCUCUGGGAGCGGCGUCGGCGGAGCCGCUCAGGACGGUCGUGCACGGGCGCGAGGAGCCGCACAGGUACAAGGUGGCACACGGCGGCGUCGCCGGCAUUGCCGGCGCGGUCGUGCCGUGCCACCCGCUGCCGUACCCGGCGGACGUGCUGUCAAGGUUUUGGUUACCGAAUGAGGCAAUUUUACCGAGGGAGACGGGCAACGUGCGGGCGGUGCGCGUGGAGCUGGUCGGGCAGGACGACCCUUCGCUGGGCGCGACGGCGAUCGCCGUCUGCCACGAGGACACCUCCGGCUGGGACGCCGAGUACUUCGCGACGCUCAACGGGUCCCGCGGCGAGCCGAUCUGCCACUACAUGCCGGACAAGUAUGUGGUGUGGGUAGCCGGUGAAACCCACUAG
rnacentral:rRNA from 1 species